rnacentral:tRNA from 2 species
GGGCGGAUAGCUCAGUGGGAGAGCAUCGGCCUUACAAGCCGGGGGUCACAGGUUCAAGUCCUGUUCCGCCCACCA